GAGCUUGGCGGUGUUUUAGACCUCUCAGGGGAACCUGUCUCAUAAUCGACAAUCCACGUUAAACCUAACCUUUGAUAGCAAUUCAGCCUGUAUACCGUUGUCGUCAGGUAACUUCUUAAAAUAUAGUAGUUAGCUUGAAAAUUUUAUUAAUUAAAACGUCAAAUCAAGGUGCAGCUAAUAAAAAGGUGAAGAUGGGUUACAAUUACAUAUUUGUAAAUACGGAUAAACAUUUGAAAGAAUUUUUUAAAGGAGGACUUGAAAGUAAUUUUAAUUAUAUAAACAAAAUGAAUGAGGCUCUGAAACGUGCACACAUCGCCCGUCGCUCUCGUUGAAAAAUGAGAUAAGUCGUAACAUAGUAGGGGUAAUGGAAAUUGUUCCUAGGC
rnacentral:rRNA from 3 species